rnacentral:lncRNA from 1 species
CUAGGGUUAAGUGUACGAUCCCUUUUGGGUGGGAUUUAAAAACAACACACAUUUCAGCUUGUGACAUAGUUGUGCUUAAUACCUAACUUGCAUACCACAGCUUUAAAGCUCCAGCAGUUGCCUAAAACGGGUUGAUACGAUCCUGAAACGCUGAAACCGCAGGCUGAAGGCACAGCUAUCAACCGGGAGGUAAAGCUCUGUUGGAUACUGAGGUCCCCCAGCUCAGAUGGCGCUUAGGAUUGCCUUGAUCCUGAGGGCACGUGUGUAAGGAAAUAAACGCCUUCGACCUAAUGGGACGUGCUGCCAGGGGACGUGGGUACUGCCAUUUAAAGUUCGGGUUGGUUAAGACGGGCAGUCCAGCAUUUUGCACUCAGUUUCCUCGACGCGAAGGGAUGUUUCAUGCGCUAUAAGGAGAGGAACCCUAAAGCAACGAAGGAAUCAGGAAAAAUAUUAACUUCUCAUUCAGUCUUCCCGCCUCGUGGGUAGUUUUACAUUCUUUCCAGUGAUAAGAGAAGGGGCUAACUUUCGUUGUAUACUGAAAACAGCUCCUGCAGUGGCGCAGGCCAGACCGAUGCGGGCCUAAUCGGAAGUAAGGCCCCCUGCAGUCAACAGGACUUCAGCGAAGCGCUUUUAAGGACGACAGCCUAAAACUUCUGCAUUCACUGACCGUCUUUUAAAGUUGCAAACCGUCCCACAACACAAGGCUUUGGCCAAAAGCCAUUCGAAUAAAGUGUUGCCUUUCGACGGGCUUUAAGGUUGA